rnacentral:rRNA from 1 species
UACGGAGGAUCCAAGCGUUAUCCGGAAUCAUUGGGUUUAAAGGGUCCGUAGGCGGUUUUGUAAGUCAGUGGUGAAAGCCCAUCGCUCAACGGUGGGACGGCCAUUGAUACUGCAAGACUUGAAUUAUUGGGAAGUAACUAGAAUAUGUAGUGUAGCGGUGAAAUGCUUAGAGAUUACAUGGAAUACCAAUUGCGAAGGCAGGUUACUACCAAUAUAUUGACGCUGAUGGACGAAAGCGUGGGGAGCGAACAGG